rnacentral:rRNA from 1 species
GGGGAAUAUUGGACAAUGGGCGAAAGCCUGAUCCAGCCAUGCCGCGUGUGUGAAGAAGGUCUUCGGAUUGUAAAGCACUUUAAGUUGGGAGGAAGAGCAGUUACCUAAUACGUGAUUGUUUUGACGUUACCAGCAGAAUAAGCACCGGCUAACUUCGUGCCAGCAGCCGCGGUAAUACGAAGGGUGCAAGCGUUAAUCGGAAUUACUGGGCGUAAAGCGCGCGUAGGUGGUUUGGUAAGAUGGAUGUGAAAUCCCCGGGCUCAACCUGGGAACUACAGACAUAACUGCCUGACUAGAGACGGUAGAGGGUGGUGGAAUUGCCUGUGUAGCGGUGAAAUGCGUAGAUAUAGGAAGGAACACGAGGGGCGAAGGCGACCACCUGGACUGAUACUGACACUGAGGUGCGAAAGCGUGGGGAGAAAACA